CACUGAGUGCUUCAAAUCAUUCAGAAGAGAUGCUGUUUUUAGGGCAGUUUAUUAAAGAAGACCUGACAUGGAUGACUUCCAAUGAGAAACGACUGCUAAUACUUAUAUAAAUUCAUUACAGAAGGACCCUACCAGACUAUAUUUGAAUACGGCAUACCCAUGAAUUCUGGAACUGUUAUUCCUUAACCCAGUUUGGAGGAUAAGAGCUUACCAACUAGUUAUAAAUAUGCUGAGGUGAUGUAUUGCAAAAUAGCCAACAUACAACAAUAAAGGAUAAUUGCAGACUACAUCCUGAUGAAGAUAUGGAUGACCCUCUGUCUGGUCAACAGGAGUUUAAAUAUGGACGGGACAGUUAUGUGGCAGCUCUUCCCUGGCUCAUUCAUCUCUUACCUUCAUUUGUGAAAGGAAGAAAGACUGGAGAGGGUCAAUGUGCAACUGAAGCUACUGAUUGUGCUGUGUGAUGAGCAUCAAUCCAUGCUUUGAGGUGGAUGAAUCAGCACAGCCCUGCCUGCUCUGUGUUGGGAACAGAAGUUGCAUCCAGAAUUUUUGCAUCAUUCUGGACCAAAAAGCCAUUCCCUGCAUGAUGAAGACCACUGAUGCAGCCUUCCGCUACAUCAUGAGUAAAACAACUACAGAACUAAAUACCAGGUUGGAACGUAUUUAAGAAAAAUGAAACGUCUUUUGAAUUGAAAUGUCUGUUUUGUUAUGGAAAAAUCUUUAGUAUUGUGAAGGAUAAGCAUUUCUGCCUGCCAGUAAGGUAAUUGCAGUGUAUUUUAAUGUUCAAGUUUUGAGUAGGGUGGCUAAUUUUUUUUUAAAAGAUUGAUUUAUUAAAGACCUUAUAAUAAGUGGUUUUCAUGUCACUGCGCUGUGGUAUAAGAUAACUUUCAUUAUUCCAUACUGUAUUCUGUAUUCUAAUUGUAGCUGAGGUAUUUAAAUAAGCAGUAUUAAAUGCAAAGUGUUGUGUGUAUCAAUGUAAAUAUUAAAUGUGAUGUACUUUAAUAAAAAGAGGUUUUGCAAUAUUUCUUGUCAUUUGUCUUUUAUAGAAACAACCCAUUAGCAACAAAAGUGGCUAUUAAUCAGUAUUUUAACACUUAACAUUGUUGAAUUCACAUUACACUGGUGUUGACCUUAAAUUAGGAGUGUUAAUUUUUAACACUGUAUUUGUGUGCCAACACCAGUGUAGUGUGGAAACAACAAUGAAUAGUGUUGAAC